rnacentral:snoRNA from 1 species
CCCCUCUCAGGGUUGCACCUGAAGAGUUUCCAGAAUUCUACCAGACUCGACUACAGGAGGGAGAGUCAAGCAGAGGCCUACCUAGUCCAUCCCUAGCUUGGGCAGUGGCUAGCGAGUGGAAGGCAAUCUGCUACAAGU